rnacentral:rRNA from 1 species
GAUGAACGCUGGCGGCGUGCCUAAUACAUGCAAGUCGAGCGAACAGACGAGGAGCUUGCUCCUCUGACGUUAGCGGCGGACGGGUGAGUAACACGUGGAUAACCUACCUAUAAGACUGGGAUAACUUCGGGAAACCGGAGCUAAUACCGGAUAAUAUUUUGAACCGCAUGGUUCAAUAGUGAAAGACGGUUUUGCUGUCACUUAUAGAUGGAUCCGCGCCGCAUUAGCUAGUUGGUAAGGUAACGGCUUACCAAGGCAACGAUGCGUAGCCGACCUGAGAGGGUGAUCGGCCACACUGGAACUGAGACACGGUCCAGACUCCUACGGGAGGCAGCAGUAGGGAAUCUUCCGCAAUGGGCGAAAGCCUGACGGAGCAACGCCGCGUGAGUGAUGAAGGUCUUCGGAUCGUAAAACUCUGUUAUUAGGGAAGAACAAAUGUGUAAGUAACUAUGCACGUCUUGACGGUACCUAAUCAGAAAGCAACGGCUAACUACGUG